UUGACUUGAAGCUAGCCCUCCCUGGUCACGCAAGCCAACAAAACGCUUGCCCAUGUUGCUUUCACCUUAUCUCCAACAUUGCCAUUAAACCUUAAAGAAAACCAUCUGAAGUUCUUUAAAGUAAGCCCGAUAGACGCAGAGUGCCGAUGCCAAAGUCGGUCGUAAACGCAUACAAGCCUCAAGCAAAAAACUUGCUGUUGGGACUCUCAAAUCAUAAGUCAACAGGUACCUUCUCAUCGCUGGUAUAAGCAACACAGAGCAGUGGCCCUUUUCCACAUAUACCAGGACUAUCUAAGUUUCCACAACUACUGAGUGGGGAUAAGCCCAGCGCGCCACUUGACUCGGCGGUGAUUCAGUACAGCGUAGAGUCAGCGCCUGAUGAGCAGAGGGAACCUGGGCGGAUCAUCGCCGGGGAUGCCGUCCUCUAUGUGGAAGGUGGAGAGUCUGCUGCAGCAGCUGGCAGAUGCUGCCUAAUCCGCUGGGUGCCUCCAACAUUUUCAGAUUAUGUACAAAAAUAGGACUGAUGGUAUGAUCCCCUCGCGUUUGCAGAACUACACUACAAAGGCUUGACUUGACUUGACUUGAAUUAACAUAUUGUUCCUGAGAUCACUAAAUUUCCUCAUCACUGGAAAAUGGUCAUAAAUUCAUAAGUGAUUGGAGCUAAAUUGGGUCAUUCGGCCCAUCAAGUCUACUCCGCCAUUCAAUGAUGGCUGAUCUAUCUCUCCCUCUUAACCCCAUUCUCCUACCUUCACCCCAUAACCCCUGACACUCAUACUAAUCAAGAAUCUAUCUAUCUCGGCCUUAAAGAUAUCCGCUGAUCCAUUUACGCCUACUUUAAUUCUUUGGCCGCAUUUACUGGACUUUAUCCUGCACUAAUCGGGAUUCACAGUAUUCUUUUUAUCAUGUAUCCGUACACUGUGGAUGGCUUGAUUGUAAUCAUGUGUUGUCUUUCCAGUGAAUGGUUGGCA